AGCUAACGCAUUAAGCAUACCGCCUGGGGAGUACGGUCGCAAGAUUAAAACUCAAAGGAAUAGACGGGGACCCGCACAAGCGGUGGAGCAUGUGGUUUAAUUCGAAGAUACGCGAAGAACCUUACCUAGGCUUGAUAUCCAACAAAUUCUGUAGAGAUACGGAAGUGCUAGCUUGCUAGAAUGUUGAGACAGGUGCUGCACGGCUGUCGUCAGCUCGUGUCGUGAGAUGUUGGGUUAAGUCCCGCAACGAGCGCAACCCUCGUCCUUAGUUGCUAACGAUUCGGUCGAGCACUCUAAGGAGACUGCCUUCGUAAGGAGGAGGAAGGUGGGGACGACGUCAAGUCAUCAUGGCCCUUACGCCUAGGGCGACACACGUGCUACAAUGGCAUAUACAAUGAGACGCAAUACCGCGAGGUGGAGCAAAUCUAUAAAAUAUGUCCCAGUUCGGAUUGUUCUCUGCAACUCGAGAGCAUGAAGCCGGAAUCGCUAGUAAUCGCAAAUCAGCCAUGUUGCGGUGAAUACGUUCCCGGGUCUUGUACUCACCGCCCGUCACACCAUGGGAGUUGAUUUCACUCGAAGUGGAAAUACUAAACUAGUUAUCCCCCACAGUGGAAUCAGCGACUGGGGUGAAGUCGUAAC
rnacentral:rRNA from 1 species